AACGAACGCUGGCGGCAGGCUUAACACAUGCAAGUCGAGCGGGCCCUUCGGGGUCAGCGGCAGACGGGUGAGUAACACGUGGGAACGUACCUUUUGGUUCGGAACAACUCCGGGAAACUGGAGCUAAUACCGGAUAAGCCCUUAGGGGGGAAAGAUUUAUCGCCAAAAGAUCGGCCCGCGUCUGAUUAGCUAGUUGGUGGGGUAACGGCCCACCAAGGCGACGAUCAGUAGCUGGUCUGAGAGGAUGAUCAGCCACACUGGGACUGAGACACGGCCCAGACUCCUACGGGAGGCAGCAGUGGGGAAUAUUGGACAAUGGGCGCAAGCCUGAUCCAGCCAUGCCGCGUGAGUGAUGAAGGCCUUAGGGUUGUAAAGCUCUUUUGUCCGGGAAGAUAAUGACUGUACCGGAAGAAUAAGCCCCGGCUAACUUCGUG
rnacentral:rRNA from 1 species